rnacentral:lncRNA from 1 species
AUGUGUGGCCCUUGUAAAUUUAUAUUUUUCCAUUAUGAUUCUCAUUGUUGGUCUAUUUUAUAUUAUAGUAGUAUACAUAAGUUUAUGGUUUCUGCAUUACAGUCAUGAGAAUCAAUUACGUAUCGUAACUAGUUAGGUGCUAUAUCAAGCGUACAACAAUCUGAUAAUUAUCUUGUCAUAAGCGUACAACUUAUAUGUAUAUUAUAAGUUGGUCACUUUAAAAAUUACAAUUGUCAUUUAUCAAGGGUUAUUACCUCCAAUGCAUAGAAGAUUGCUCACUAUUAUGAGGUAACUCAUGUUGAAAAUUAAAAAUGUCAAACAAGUGAAUAAUUAUCUUCACAUUGAACAAUUAUUUCCACGGAUUGGCUUUAGAACUUCCAACGAGUUUUUGUCAAAAUUAGGCCCAUAACAAUUAAAUUUUUGUCAAAAUUUGCCUACAAAUCGUAAAUGGCUACCGAGCUAUAGAAGUUGUUCUGGCGAAUCAGUACAUUUUUUAAUCUUC